rnacentral:rRNA from 1 species
UACAGAGGGUGCAAGCGUUGUUCGGAAUUAUUGGGCGUAAAGCGCGUGUAGGCGGCUUUGCAAGUCGGGUGUGAAAGCCCUCAGCUCAACUGAGGAAGUGCGCCCGAAACUGCAGAGCUUGAGUACCGGAGAGGAUGGCGGAAUUCCCCAAGUAGAGGUGAAAUUCGUAGAUAUGGGGAGGAACACCGGUGGCGAAGGCGG